rnacentral:rRNA from 1 species
CCUACGGGCGGCAGCAGUGGGGAAUAUUGGACAAUGGGCGAAAGCCUGAUCCAGCCAUGCCGCGUGUGUGAAGAAGGCCUUCGGGUUGUAAAGCACUUUCAGUGGGGAAGAAAGCCUUGGGGCUAAUACCCUCGAGGAAGGACAUCACCCACAGAAGAAGCACCGGCUAACUCCGUGCCAGCAGCCGCGGUAAUACGGAGGGUGCGAGCGUUAAUCGGAAUUACUGGGCGUAAAGCGCGCGUAGGCGGUCUGAUAAGCCGGUUGUGAAAGCCCCGGGCUCAACCUGGGAACGGCAUCCGGAACUGUCAGGCUAGAGUGCAGGAGAGGAAGGUAGAAUUCCCGGUGUAGCGGUGAAAUGCGUAGAGAUCGGGAGGAAUACCAGUGGCGAAGGUGGCCUUCUGGACUGACACUGACGCUGAGGUGCGAAAGCGUGGGUAGCAAACAGGAUUAGAUACCCCUGUAGUC